rnacentral:tRNA from 4 species
GCCCCGGUAGCUCAGUCGGAUAGAGCAACCGCCUCCUAAGCGGUAGGUCGCAGGUUCGAAUCCUGCCCGGGGCGCCA